AGAGUUUGAUCCUGGCUCAGGGUGAACGCUGGCGGCGUGGAUUAGGCAUGCAAGUCGAAUGGGUUUAGGCCCAUGGCAGACGAGGUAGUAACACGUAGGUUACGUACCCUAGAGUCGAGCAUAACCCGGAGAAAUCCGGAAUAAUUCUCGAUAGUCCCUUCGGGGUAAAGAUUUAUCGCUCUAGGAACGGCCUGCGGGAUAUCAGCUUGUUGGUAGUGUAAAGGACUACCAAGGCUAUGACGUCUAGGGGAGGUGAGAGCCUGACCCCCACCGAUGGAACUGAGACACGGUCCAUACUCCUACGGGAGGCCGCAGUCGAGAAUCUUCCGCAAUGGACGAAAGUCUGACGGAGCGACGCCGCGUGAUUGAUGACGCCCUUAGGGGUGUAAGAUCUUUUAUAUGGGAAGAAGUUUAUUGACGGUACCAUAUGAAUAAGGGGCUCCUAAACUCGUGCCAGCAGGAGCGGUAAUACGAGUGCCCCAAGCGUUACCCGGAUUCACUGGGCGUAAAGGGUGCGUAGGUGGCCUAGUUAGUCGAUUGUUAAAGCACCGGGCUCAACCCGGGACAGGCAAUCGAAACGGCUAAGCUAGAGGAUGUGAGAGGUGAGUGGAACUCAUGGUGUAGGGGUGAAAUCCGUUGAAAUCAUGGGGAACACCAAAAGCGAAGGCAACUCACUGGCACAUUCCUGACACUGAUGCACGAAAGCGUGGGUAGCGAAUGGGAUUAGAUACCCCAGUAGUCCACGCCCUAAACGUUCCGAACUAGCUUUUUGGAGUAUCGACCCUCUGAGAGGCGAAGCUAACGCGUUAAGUUCGGCGCCUGGGUAGUACGAGCGCAAGCUUAAAACUCAAAGGAAUAGACGGGGACUCGCACAAGCGGUGGAUCAUGUGGCUUAAUUCGAUACUAAGCGAAGAACCUUACCUAGGCUAGAUAUCUAUAUGCAAAUCUUGGGAAACCAAGACCCUCUUCGGACAUAUAGACAGGUGAUGCAUGGCCGUCGUCAGUUCGUGGCUUGAGCUGUUCCCUUAAGUGGGGAAACGAACGCAACCCUCAUCGUGUGUUACAAGUGUCACGCGAGACUGCUCUCUCACGAGAGAGGAAGGUGGGGAUGACGCCAGGUCAGCAUGUCCCUUGAUGCCUAGGGCUGCACACGUGAUACAAUGGCCGUUACAACAGGACGCAAUGUCGCAAGGCGGAGCAAAUCCUUAUAAAGACGGCCCCAGUUCGGAUUGAGGUCUGCAACUCGACCUCAUGAAGUCGGAAUCGCUAGUAAUCGCAGGUCAGCAAUACUGCGGUGAAUACGUUCUCGAGUCUUGUACUCACCGCCCGUCAAGUCAGGGAAGCCGGGAGUACCCGAAGUCUCACUUUAUUGUGGGCCGAAGGUAAGUUCGGUAACAAGGACUAAGUCGUAACAAGGUA
rnacentral:rRNA from 1 species